rnacentral:rRNA from 1 species
UACGAAGGGGGCGAGCGUUGUUCGGAAUCACUGGGCGUAAAGCGUGCGUAGGCGGCUUCGCAAGUUGGGAGUGAAAGCCCAGGGCUCAACCCUGGAAUUGCUCUCAAAACUGCAGAGCUUGAAUUCGAGAGAGGAUAGCGGAAUUUCCAGUGUAGUAGUGAAAUACGUAGAUAUUGGAAGGAACACCAGUGGCGUAGGCGGCUAUCUGGCUCGACAUUGACGCUGAGGCACGAAAGCGUGGGGAUCAAACAGG